rnacentral:snoRNA from 1 species
UCUCCUUUUCUUGGGGGGACCAGGCAUGUGGUCCUGCUUCCCAUUAUAUAAGAAGGCAGAAGAAGGAAAGGGCACUGGCUCUCUCGGUGUCGUGGCUUCAGUAACUGGCAGCUUCCCGUUCACCAGUUCUAUCCUCAAAUGCUGGGACAUGG